CGCUGAACUUAAGCAUAUCAUUAAGCGGAGGAAAA
rnacentral:rRNA from 1 species